rnacentral:rRNA from 1 species
GGAUUAGAUACCCUGGUAGUCCACGCCGUAAACGAUGUCUACUAGUUGUUGGGAGAAUUGAUCUCUUAGUAACGAAGCUAACGCGAUAAGUAGACCGCCUGGGGAGUACGGCCGCAAGAUUAAAACUCAAAUGAAUUGACGGGGGCCCGCACAAGCGGUGGAGCAUGUGGUUUAAUUCGAAGCAACGCGAAGAACCUUACCUACUCCUGACAUCCAGAGAACUUAGCAGAGAUACCUUGGUGCCUUCGGGAAUCGAGUGACAGGUGCUGCAUGGCUGUCGUCAGCUCGUGCUG